rnacentral:rRNA from 1 species
AGAGUUUGAUCCUGGCUCAGGACGAACGCUGGCGGCGUGCCUAAUACAUGCAAGUAGAACGCUGAAGAGAGGAGCUUGCUCUUCUUGGAUGAGUUGCGAACGGGUGAGUAACGCGUAGGUAACCUGCCUUGUAGCGGGGGAUAACUAUUGGAAACGAUAGCUAAUACCGCAUAACAAUGGAUGACCCAUGUCAUUUAUUUGAAAGGGGCAAAUGCUCCACUACAAGAUGGACCUGCGUUGUAUUAGCUAGUAGGUGAGGUAACGGCUCACCUAGGCGACGAUACAUAGCCGACCUGAGAGGGUGAUCGGCCACACUGGGACUGAGACACGGCCCAGACUCCUACGGGAGGCAGCAGUAGGGAAUCUUCGGCAAUGGGGGCAACCCUGACCGAGCAACGCCGCGUGAGUGAAGAAGGUUUUCGGAUCGUAAAGCUCUGUUGUAAGUCAAGAACGAGUGUGAGAGUGGAAAGUUCACACUGUGACGGUAGCUUACCAGAAAGGGACGGCUAACUACGUGCCAGCAGCCGCGGUAAUACGUAGGUCCCGAGCGUUGUCCGGAUUUAUUGGGCGUAAAGCGAGCGCAGGCGGUUUGAUAAGUCUGAAGUUAAAGGCUGUGGCUCAACCAUAGUUCGCUUUGGAAACUGUCAAACUUGAGUGCAGAAGGGGAGAGUGGAAUUCCAUGUGUAGCGGUGAAAUGCGUAGAUAUAUGGAGGAACACCGGUGGCGAAAGCGGCUCUCUGGUCUGUAACUGACGCUGAGGCUCGAAAGCGUGGGGAGCGAACAGGAUUAGAUACCCUGGUAGUCCACGCCGUAAACGAUGAGUGCUAGGUGUUGGAUCCUUUCCGGGAUUCAGUGCCGCAGCUAACGCAUUAAGCACUCCGCCUGGGGAGUACGACCGCAAGGUUGAAACUCAAAGGAAUUGACGGGGGCCCGCACAAGCGGUGGAGCAUGUGGUUUAAUUCGAAGCAACGCGAAGAACCUUACCAGGUCUUGACAUCCCGAUGCUAUUUCUAGAGAUAGAAAGUUACUUCGGUACAUCGGUGACAGGUGGUGCAUGGUUGUCGUCAGCUCGUGUCGUGAGAUGUUGGGUUAAGUCCCGCAACGGGCGCAACCCCUAUUGUUAGUUGCCAUCAUUCAGUUGGGCACUCUAGCGAGACUGCCGGUAAUAAACCGGAGGAAGGUGGGGAUGACGUCAAAUCAUCAUGCCCCUUAUGACCUGGGCUACACACGUGCUACAAUGGUUGGUACAACGAGUUGCGAGUCGGUGACGGCAAGCUAAUCUCUUAAAGCCAAUCUCAGUUCGGAUUGUAGGCUGCAACUCGCCUACAUGAAGUCGGAAUCGCUAGUAAUCGCGGAUCAGCACGCCGCGGUGAAUACGUUCCCGGGCCUUGUACACACCGCCCGUCACACCACGAGAGUUUGUAACACCCGAAGUCGGUGAGGUAACCUUUUGGAGCCAGCCGCCUAAGGUGGGAUAGAUGAUUGGGAUGAAGUCGUAACAAGGUA